rnacentral:lncRNA from 1 species
GAGGGAAGGAAGGAUGGAAGGAGGGAAGGAAGAGGGUAAGAUGGAAAGAAGGAAGUAAGGAGGGAGAGGGAAGGAGGGAAAGAGGGAAAGAGGGAAAGAAGUAAGGAGGGAGAGGUAAGGAGGGAAAGAGGGAAAGAGGGAAAGAAGUAAGGAGGGAGAGGUAAGGAGGGAAAGAGGAGUAGUAAGGUAAAGGAUACAUCCUGGAGAGAGGAAGAGUAGCAGUAUAUUCCUCCUGAUGAGUCAUAGAGUGCUACGGUAUGUGUGGUCUGUUGCUACGGUAUGUGUGGUCUGUUGCUACGGUAUGUGUGGUCUGUUGCUACGGUAUGUGUGGUCUGUUGCUACUGUAUGUGGGGUCUGUUGCUACUGUAUGUGGGGUCUGUUGCUACGGUAUGUGGGGUCUGUUGCUACGGUAUGUGGGGUCUGUUGCUAUGGUAUGUGUGGUCUGUUGCUACGGUAUGUGUGGUCUGUUGCUAUGGUAUGUGUGGUCUGUUGCUACGGUAUGUGUGGUCUGUUGCUACGGUAUGUGUGGUCUGUUGCAACGGUAUGUGUGGUCUGUUGCUACGGUAUGUGUGGUCUGUUGCUACGGUAUGUGUGGUCUGUUGCUACGGUAUGUGUGGUCUGUUGCUACGGUAUGUGUGGUCUGUUGCUACGGUAUGUGUGGUCUGUUGCUAUACGGUAUGUGGGGUCUGUUGCUACGGUAUGUGUGGUCUGUUGCUACGGUAUGUGUGGUCUGUUGCUACUGUAUGUGGGGUCUGUUGCUA